rnacentral:rRNA from 1 species
UACGUAGGGUGCGAGCGUUAAUCGGAAUUACUGGGCGUAAAGCGUGCGCAGGCGGCGCGUUAAGACAGGUGUGAAAGCCCCGAGCUUAACUUGGUAAUUGCGCUUGUGACUGGCGUGCUGGAGUGUUGCAGAGGGAGGUGGAAUUCCACGUGUAGCAGUGAAAUGCGUAGAGAUGUGGAGGAACACCGAUGGCGAAGGCAGCCUCCUGGGCCAGCACUGACGCUCAUGCACGAAAGCGUGGGGAGCAAACAGG